AUCCAGCUGACGAGUCCAAAAUAGGAUAAAAAACAAUUCCUGGAU
rnacentral:hammerhead_ribozyme from 1 species